UACAGAGGCCUCAAGCGUUGUUCGGAUUCAUUGGGCGUAAAGGGUGCGUAGGCGGCGCGGUAAGUCGGGUGUGAAAUCUCGGAGCUUAACUUCGAAACUGCAUUCGAUACUGCCGUGCUUGAGGACUGGAGAGGAGACUGGAAUUUACGGUGUAGCGGUGAAAUGCGUAGAUAUCGUGAGGAAGACCAGUGGCGAAGGCGGGUCUCUGGACAGUUCCUGACACUGAGGCACGAAGGCCAGGGGAGCAAACGGG
rnacentral:rRNA from 1 species